rnacentral:rRNA from 1 species
GAUGAACGCUAGCGGCAGGCUUAAUACAUGCAAGUCGAGGGGCAGCAGGACUGUAGCAAUACAGUUGCUGGCGACCGGCAAACGGGUGCGGAACACGUACGCAACCUACCCAAAACUGGGGGAUAGCCCGGGGAAACCCGGAUUAAUACCUCGUAACCUUUUUAAGUGGCAUCACUUGAUAAGUAUAGCUCCGGCGGUUUUGGAUGGGCGUGCGCCUGAUUAGGUAGUUGGUGCGGGUAACGGCCCACCAAGCCUGCGAUCAGUAACUGGUGUGAGAGCACGACCAGUCACACGGGCACUGGGACACGGGCCCGACUCCUACGGGAGGCAGCAGUAAGGAAUAUUGGUCAAUGGACGCAAGUCUGAACCAGCCAUGCCGCGUGAAGGAUGAAGGUCCUCUGGAUUGUAAACUUCUUUUAUGGGGGACGAAACCCGGAUAUUCUUAUCCGAUUGACGGUACCUCAGGAAUAAGCACCGGCUAACUCCGUG